rnacentral:misc_RNA from 1 species
AAGGAAUAACAUCGGACCUUAACCAGUUAACCAUCAAUUGAAGGCAACGCAACCAUAGAGUGUAAUAAAUUAUGUGUCCUUCCCUAAACUGAAGUUGGGAACUUUAGCAAUUGCUGCCAUAGAGUGUAAACCUUUGUUGCCUUGGUUCUUCUUUUUACCCUAUCAUAUCCUUCUUGUACAUAUUGCACACUUCAAAUGGACAUUGGCACUUUGGGUAUGACUCUCCAAAAUAAGUGGAAGAAGUACCAAAAAAUUGUCAGACAUGGCUAUUUAGUUGACACUAUAUCCAAGUCUGAGCAACACAGAUGGAAACAUAUUGGUGUUGUGGUGAUAUAUCGUACGGGCUAUACCUAAUAU